rnacentral:rRNA from 1 species
AUUGAACGCUGGCGGCAUGCCUUACACAUGCGAGUCGAACGGUAACGGGCCUUCGGGUGCCGACGAGUGGCGAACGGGUGAGUAAUACAUCGGAACGUGCCCGAUCGUGGGGGAUAACGAGGCGAAAGCUUUGCUAAUACCGCAUACGAUCUACGGAUGAAAGCAGGGGACCGCAAGGCCUUGCGCGGACGGAGCGGCCGAGGGCAGAUUAGGUAGUUGGUGGGAUAAAAGCUUACCAAGCCGACGAUCUGUAGCUGGUCUGAGAGGAUGAUCAGCCACACUGGGACUGAGACACGGCCCAGACUCCUACGGGAGGCAGCAGUGGGGAAUUUUGGACAAUGGGCGCAAGCCUGAUCCAGCCAUGCCGCGUGCAGGAUGAAGGCCUUCGGGUUGUAAACUGCUUUUGUACGGAACGAAAAGCCUUCUUUUAAUACAGGAGGGUCAUGACGGUACCGUAAGAAUAAGCACCGGCUAACUACGUG